rnacentral:lncRNA from 1 species
CAUGUAACUCAUUUUUAGUUAAACCACAGCCUAAAGCAACAGAGAUGCCAAAGGUUACGCCCAUUCAAGAAGGUGAUAAGAGAGAGAGAGAGAGAGGGAAAGGUCAUGUGCUUCUUCUGAUGUAACAAGAACACGAGCUAGUGGCUGUUAACCUACACCAUCUUGUUUAAUGUAGUAGUAGUAACAUUUGUGUCACUGAAGAAAGAAAGAAAGGGUAGGGUUGUUUUUGGUUCUUGAUUUUCCUGGGUUUGGACUUAAAAUGGCGGUUCAAGAACAAAAUUUUGGGUUUGAGAAUAUGGGUUUUAACCCAUUUGUCAUGUGUGGUUCACAGGAUUGGGUUAUGGGGACUGCUGAUGGUUUAUAUUUCCAAGAACAGAGGAAGAAGAUUCAUCAAGUUUUUGAUUCUUGGGAUGAUCAAGCUUCUCCAUCUCCUCUGCCUAUGGAGUUUCUGCAAUCUUUAUCAUCUGAUCUUCAGAAUCAACGCCUGGAAAUGGAUUUGUUGCUUUGGUUAGAGGUAAAAAUAUACUUUUACGUUAAAGAAAUUAUGAAAUGGAAAAUAUUCUUAUUUCUUAAAGAAAUAAAAGUUCUGCAACUGAAGAGUUCUCUGUAAAAUGUUUGAAUACAUGUAUGCAUGUUUAACUACAACAAUUUAUUGAAACUAUCCGAGGUUUUCUUGAUUUUGAUUAUUUAUUGAUACUAUGUUUCGAUAGCGUGAGAGAUGGAAAAAUUAAAAUCUUUAAUGUUUUUGGAUACUGUUACCAGACUAAGGGCUUGAAACCUUGAUUUUAAAAUUGCUUUUUUUUUUUUUACUUUUUUUUUUGUUUUUUUUUUUUUU